AGGUUCAAAGAACCUCCCCCGCCGCCGCCGUGGAACCGUAGCCUCAGCUCCCUCGCCGCCUUUCGCCGGAGUAUCACCCCAACGUCGUCGUCACUGGGCUUUCUUAACAACAUUUUGAUGAGGAUGAUGAAGGGAGAAGGAACCAUCAGGUAGCAGAGAUUGAAGUUAGAACAUCUUUUUUGCUGACCA